rnacentral:lncRNA from 1 species
CUGAAUCACUUUCUUUCAUGUGUCAUAACAUGCAGAGUAAAUAGCACCACACCUUUUUACUUUAAUUGUGGUAAUCUGAUCUCUCAGCCACAAGAAAGCCUUCCCUAAUGCCUUCUUUAGAAUGGACUUUCAAGGCAAAGUGAGAGCAGUAACUGUAAUAAUCACCUCUUCUUUUCUUUUGCUGUCAAAAGGCAGGGGGGUUUGUUAAACUAAUCAAGAACCAGGACCACACGGCAAAAAAUAAGUGCCCUAAAAGACAAGUGGAGUUCUAGUUCUAGAGUAGCCAUGCACUGAGCUCUGUGAUAGAACCCAGGACAGAGAAUGGCUGAAUGGCCAGAGAAGGCUUCUGCAAGAUCUGCAUGUUUGACUGCUUAUAGCAUGGCUUCAAAUGAUCUGAAAGCUGGCUGAAGUUUGGUUUUGAAGAGGGAGGCAUCAUCUUCACUAUCAUCAUGUAAUACUUACUGAGAUGAAGCAACUAAAGGAGACAUUUCCACACCUCUGAUCUGUAAGUUUCUAAGUUUAUUUCAUGGAACACAAGAAUUAACUUCAGUUUUCUCUUCUGUAUAUCAGACAUUGACACGCUGACAAGGGGACCCAUACAGCUUUGACCUUGUCUGUUCUUCCAGACUUUGCUUUUCCCCAGAUUUCAGUGUCUCCACUGGCGAGGAUACUGUUUUCUUAAGAAACCACUCCAGAGUCAAUUCCUUCUGUUAAGUAGGACCACUGUGAUGAAUAUAUUACUGUGCAAUUAAAUAAAUUCAAUGCUGCUCUGUCCUUCA